CCUCCCACUGCUGGGCUGCGUGACCUGGGAUCAGUCUUUCCUCUGUCUGAUGGCAGGUGCAGAUUGCCUGCCCUGGCACGUGGUGGGCAGUCUGGGCCCAGGAGCAUCUCCCACCCUGUGUGGCUGGGGCCUGCUCAUGAGUGGCCUGCUGUCCUCCUGCCCAGCACGCUGCACCACCCUGGCCUGUUGCUGCUGAUGGCACUGAGUCCCUCUGCAGAUCUGUCGGGGCUGUGCCUUCUCUUUGAGCCUGUGUGGCUGGGCUCCCUGCAGGGGGUGCUGCACCCACCGAGACCAAGUGAGGAGGCACCUGGGACUGUGCUGGGCCUGCCACCCGGCCCCCUGCUGCAGCAGGUGCUAAAGGCCCUGCUGUUCCUGCAGGCCCACUGGCGAGCUCACAGUGGCUUCAGCUCUCACACUGUGUAGCUGGUGCAGCCAGGCCUGGCUGAAGUGGGCCACCUGGAACACAGGCGCCUCCUACGCCAGCGCUGGCUGCAGCCCAGGCAGCAGAAGGGCUACCCCUGGGGAGGCCCAGGCCCAGGGCUUCCCCCGCCCCCUGAACUAUACCCAUGGCUGCCACUUGAGCUGAUCUGCGGUGACAUGCCCACCACCACCUCAGACCUCUACAGCUUCUGCAUCCUGACCCAGGAGGUCUUCACUGAGAAACUGUACGUGAAGUGGCUCACAGAGCCAAGACCACACCCAGGCCUGUGGCCCCUGUGAUGUCCCCAGGCACCAUCCCAUACCAGG